rnacentral:misc_RNA from 1 species
UAUAAUGCAAAGGUCCGGCAGCAAGCCAAAGGGAAGAGAGCGGUUGACAAAUUCGCAGAGCAUUGUUGUUAAUUUGAUUCUCGCGCUCUCUUCUGUAUUACUUAUACAGAUUUUGAUAUUGAAUUCGAUUGAACAUACACUAACACAUACUCAUCUCAAAACAAAAACAAAUAAACCCUAUAGUGGAAAUAAGGAGAAGAAUUAGCAAGAAAAAUGAUGGAAUUCCUGGACCUGGAAUCGCAGGACGGAGUGAGAAUGCCGUGGAACGUGCUUCCGGGCACCAAGCAAGAGGCCAGCAACUGUGUGGUACCCGUCUCAGCCAUUUACACUCCGAUCAAGCACUUCGCCAACAUGCCGGUCCUCCCCUACUCUCCCCUGCGUUGCCGCACCUGCCGCUCCGUGCUUAAUCCAUUUUCGAUCGUGGAUUUCGCGGCUAAGAUCUGGAUCUGCCCCUUCUGCUUCCAACGCAAUCACUUCCCGCCUCACUACGCCUCCAUCAGCGACGACAACCUUCCUGCGGAGCUCUUCCCGCAAUACACCACCAUCGAAUACGAGACUCCAGCAGAGAAGUGCUCGUCCUCGUCGGUUUUUAUGUUCGUGGUGGACACUUGCAUCAUCGAGGAGGAGAUGGCCUUCCUCAAGUCAGCCUUGUCCCAGGCCAUCGACCUCCUUCCGGACAAUUCCCUCGUUGGCCUCAUCACUUUUGGGACCUUGGUCCACGUUCACGAGCUAGGCUUCGGCCAGAUCCCCAAAACCUACGUCUUCAAGGGCUCCAAGGACGUGUCCAAGGACCAGCUUCUCGACCAGAUGGGUUUUUUUCUCAAGAAGCCCAAGCCUCCCACUGGUGUUAUUGCGGGCGCUAGGGAUGGCCUCUCUUCCGAGAGUAUUUCCCGCUUCCUAUUGCCCGCCUCUGAGUGUGAAUUUACUCUCAAUUCGGUGUUGGAAGAGCUGCAGAAAGAUCCUUGGCCUGUUCCGCCUGAUGAGCGGGCUGCCAGGUGUACUGGCACGGCUCUUUGUGUGGCGGCCAGCUUAUUAGGAGCUUGUGUUCCUGGGUCUGGAGCUCGAAUUAUGGCAUUCAUUGGUGGUCCAUCCACUGAAGGACUCGGUGCUAUCGUGUCAAAGAAUCUCUCUGAACCAAUUCGUUCUCACAAGGACCUGGAUAAAGAUUCUGCUCCCCUUUAUCAUAAAGCUGUGAAGUUCUACGAAGGACUUGCAAAGCAGCUUGUGCAUCAAGGCCACGUACUUGAUCUGUUUGCAUGUGCUCUUGACCAGGUGGGGGUUGCUGAACUUAAAGUUGCAGUUGAAAAAACUGGUGGGCUUGUUGUUCUUGCAGAAAGCUUUGGCCAUUCAGUUUUUAAGGACUCACUUAGACGUAUUUUCCAAUUUGAUGACUAUGACCUUGGACUAUCAUCAAAUGGUAUAUUUGAGAUAAACAGCUCAAAGGAUAUCAAAGUUCAAGGCAUUAUUGGCCCCUGUGCAUCGCUUGAAAAGAAAGGUCCUUUGUGCUCCGAUACUGUCAUCGGUCAGGGGAAUACCAGUGCUUGGAAGAUGUGUGGACUAGACAAAGCUACAACUUUAUGUAUAAUAUUUGAAAUUGUGAAGAAGGACAGUCCAGAUGCUUCUGUUCAACCAUCAAGCAAUCAAUUUUACUUCCAAUUUUUGACUUAUUAUCAGCACAGCAGUGGUCAAAUGAGACUCCGCGUUACAACCCUUUCUAGAAGAUGGGUUGCUGGACCUGGAAGCAUACAGGAUUUGAUUGCUGGAUUUGACCAAGAAGCAGCUGCUGUGGCCAUGGCACGCCUAGUCUCUUUCAAAAUGGAAAUUGAGGCUGAGUUUGACCCGAUAAGAUGGCUAGAUAAAGCUUUAAUACAUAUAUGUUCACGAUUUGGAGAUUACCAGAAGGACAGCCCAUCUUCUUUCAGCUUGUCUCCUCGGCUUUCGAUAUUCCCUCAGUUCGUGUUUCAUUUACGACGUUCCCAAUUUGUUCAGGUCUUCAACAACAGCCCGGAUGAGACGGCAUACUUCAGGAUCAUACUGAACAGGGAAAAUGUGGCCAAUUCUGUUGUGAUGAUACAACCUUCACUGAUAUCUUACUCAUUUCAUUCAGGGCCAGAACCAGCUCUUCUUGAUGUGGCUGCCAUUGCAGCUGAUAGGAUCCUGCUUUUGGACUCUUAUUUUACUGUUGUUAUUUUUCAUGGUGCAACUAUUGCUCAGUGGCGAAAAGCUGGCUACCAUAAUCAACCAGAACAUCAGGUAGUUUGUUAAGUUCCGAAGGAAGAGAAGGGGAGUGGAGGGGGAAAGAAGAGAAAGAAAACCUUUCUCUUUGUUUUAGGUUUGAUGUAACAGUCUUCAUUCUUACAUGUGAAAUCACAGCCUUUCAUAAGCAUCAUGUGCUAAUCACUCUUUUGGUUGUUUAUUACCAAAGGACAAGUAAAUAUUUUUUCUCCCGUUUAUCUUAUUUGUGUUAGCUUUGUUUUCUAACUGUAAUUGGAAACUGUUCAAUUUUAGAUUUAAUCAUAGAAGGCAUUGUCCUCUAAGAUGGAGACAAUCUUACCAGUCAGUGCACAAGAAGGUCACCUGCAUGUGAGAUGAAACAUUAACUGAUUAUCAAUGGCCAUAAAGAGUCUUUAGAAUUUGCUUUUGGGUCUAUUAUCUUUCAUUUUUUUUUUGGGUUAAAUCUGUUAUCUUUCUUUUUUGUAGUCAAAUGCCUCCAGCUCCAAUUCUGACAUAAGUUGUUGCCUUAAUACUCGGUUCUAAUUUGCUUUUGCUUUUGCUUUUGCUCUUGCAGGCAUUUGCCCAAUUGCUGCAAGCGCCUCGUGAUGAUGCGGAUGUGAUAAUCAGGGAAAGGUUUCCAGUUCCUCGUUUAGUCAUUUGUGAUCAACAUGGUUCCCAGGUUAUAUACUAUCACACUUAUCGUAUUUAUUGGUUAACCAGUAAAUGAACAUGCAACUGUUGUAGCAUAAUUUGCACUUCUUUUCGCCGCUUGUCUUGUAAGAAUGUCCUGACAUUCACCCAAGGAUGUCCAACUUGUUAUGUUUGAAUGGAAAUAGGAAUGACAUUAAUAAAUUAUAUAUCAAUUUAAUAAAUUAUAUUAAGUUUUGUGUUUUUAAUCUAUUAUUAAAUUAUUGUAUUUUACUAUAUCAACAAUCAAAUUUGUAUGUAUAUAUGUUAAAAUUUGGAUGUUAAUAAUAUAUAGUUGAGGAAAUAAUAAUAUUAAGUAAUAAGCUACAUAUAUUCAAAUAUGAAUAUUUUUUAUAUAUUUUUUUAAGUGAAAGUUAUGCUAAAAUAUAUAAUAUUUUUUGAAGUUGGGGCUGGAUGACCAAAAGCCAGUAAGCCAACCCUGUCCCAUUACCUUCGACUGAGCAGAAAUUUCCCAUCCCUAUUGAGGCAGGAUCAAAUUGCCAUCUCCAAAUGGAAGUUUAGGUUUGCAUGAUAAUUUAUAUUAUUUGGGACCUAGCAACUGACCCAAGAUUGCCGAACUUGCUUUUCUAACCUCUUUAGUGGGUUUUCAUAAACUCUGUUUGCAAAAUCAAAAUUUUUAUAUUUUUUUACAAUCCUGGAUAUUCAUCAAGGGUGCAAAUACUUCUAAUUCCAUGUUUUUCUUUUUUUUAUGGUAAAAGUUAUUUUUUGGAUCAUUGACAAUAUUAAAUUUCACUUUUAUUAGUUUGUGCUGGCAUUGUGUUUUUGAUAAAUCAGGGUGUUUUUCUUUUUCUUCUCCCCAUGAGCUUUACUGAGUGAUAUUCUCUUGGCAGUGGAUUGUCACUUGCCUCAAUGUGUCCCUGUACAGUGCCAACUAACUCAUAAUGUUAAUGCAGGCCCGUUUUCUUCUAGCUAAGUUGAAUCCUUCUGCUACAUACAACACCGAUGCUCCUCUUCCCGGUGGAGAUAUCUUGUUUACAGAUGAUGUAAGCUUUGAGGUCUUCUUAGAUCAUCUGCAGAGACUAGCAGUUCAAUAAAAACGCGCACGAUUAGUGGCAAUUUUGUAAACUUAGUUUUGACUUUUUUGUACAGUAAUAAUUAUACAAUUUAUUUUACUCUUUCUUGUGAUUUGGAUUAAUCAUAUAAAAAAAAAUCGUAUAAUGAAGAGUUCUUGCAGCUUUAUGGUGAUUCUAUUAGGACAUUAUAAGUUGGUACCUGUGGGCAAUAGUUGUAAUAUAAACGUGUUUAUGUUAGAAUGAUGAUUU